AGGAAUAUUGGUCAAUGGACGAGAGUCUGAACCAGCCAAGUAGCGUGAAGGAUGAAGGUUCUAUGGAUUGUAAACUUCUUUUAUACGGGAAUAAACGGAUCCACGUGUGGAUUUUUGCAUGUACCGUAUGAAUAAGGAUCGGCUAACUCCGUGCCAGCAGCCGCGGUAAUACGGAGGAUCCGAGCGUUAUCCGGAUUUAUUGGGUUUAAAGGGAGCGUAGAUGGGUUGUUAAGUCAGUUGUGAAAGUUUGCGGCUCAACCGUAAAAUUGCAAUUGAUACUGGCAGUCUUGAGUACAGUUGAGGUAGGCGGAAUUCGUGGUGUAGCGGUGAAAUGCUUAGAUAUCACGAAGAACUCCGAUUGCGAAGGCAGCUUACUAACCUGUAACUGACAUUGAUGCUCGAAAGUGUGGGUAUCAAACAGGGUUAGAUACCCUGGUAGUCCACACGGUAAACGAUGAAUACUCGCUGUAGGCGAUAUACAGUCUGCGGCCAAGCGAAAGCAUUAAGUAUUCCACCUGGGGAGUACGCCGGCAACGGUGAAACUCAAAGGAAUUGACGGGGGCCCGCACAAGCGGAGGAACAUGUGGUUUAAUUCGAUGAUACGCGAGGAACCUUACCCGGGCUUAAAUUGCAACCGAAUAUGGCGGAAACGCUAUAGCUAGCAAUAGCGGUUGUGAAGGUGCUGCAUGGUUGUCGUCAGCUCGUGCCGUAAGGUGUCGGCUUAAGUGCCAUAACGAGCGCAACCCUUGCCGAUAGUUACUAACAGGUUAUGCUGAGGACUCUGUCGGGACUGCCAUCGUAAGAUGUGAGGAAGGUGGGGAUGACGUCAAAUCAGCACGGCCCUUACGUCCGGGGCUACACACGUGUUACAAUGGGGGGUACAGAGGGCUGCUACCACGCAAGUGGAUGCCAAUCCCAAAAACCUCUCUCAGUUCGGAUUGAAGUCUGCAACCCGACUUCAUGAAGCUGGAUUCGCUAGUAAUCGCGCAUCAGCCACGGCGCGGUGAAUACGUUCCCG
rnacentral:rRNA from 1 species